AUGAUUGUACUAAAGCUUGAUUUCCAAAAAGCUUUUGACAGUGUUAGCUGGGAGGCUCUAAAACAAAUCCUUGCAACAAGAGGCUUUGGGGACAGAUGGAUCAGGUGGGUGGAUGAUAUUCUCACAACUACUUCCUCCAGAAUUCUUAUCAAUGGCAACCCUGGCGAAAGGAUUCUAUCGAAGUGUGGACUACGGCAGGGGGACGCCCUGUCCCCAUAA
rnacentral:rRNA from 1 species